rnacentral:rRNA from 1 species
CAAUAGCGUAUAUUAAAGUUGUUGCGGUUAAAAGCUCGUAGUUGGAUUUCUGCCGAGGACGACCGGUCCGCCCUCUGGGUGAGUAUCUGGCUCGGCCUGGGCAUCUUCUUGGAGAACGUAUCUGCACUUGACUGUGUGGUGCGGUAUCCAGGACUUUUACUUUGAGAAAAUUAAAGUGUUCAAAGCAGGCGCUCGCUUGAAUACAUUAGCAUGGAAUAAUAGUAUAGGACUUUGAUCUUAUUUGUUGGUUUUAAAGAUCAAAGUAAUGAUUGAUAGGGACAGUUGGGGGCAUCAGUAUUCUGAAGCGAGAGGUGAAAUUCUUGGACCUUCGGAGACUAACAACUGCGAAAGCAUUUGCCAAGGAUGUUCUCUUUAAUCAAGAACGAAAGUUAGGGGA